rnacentral:sRNA from 1 species
AGCAGGUGAUCUCCUCACCUGACCUUCCUGCCAUUUCACCCACGCCACCGUUAUUUCCUUAGUUAGCAGCUGUCUGAGAGCGUUUGUCCUGCUGUCUUUUAUUGUGCUCAUCAGAAUCAGCAUCAUCGUCAUCACCAUCAUCAUCAUCAUCAUUUUCUUUGCAGCCGGAAUGUGAAGUAAAACGUGAGCGUGUCAUUUUAGCUUCUUUUUUUUUUUAGCUGCGUGGUAAAAUGGCCGAGGAAAGAGAGAUGAAUAGUUUGAGCAAGUGAAAAGGAAUGAGAAUCUGACGCACGUGCAACUGACAUGAAAAUAAAUAAGAGGAGCAACUCUAAAUGACAGUUUUUGCAUUAGAUUUGCUACCAUCUCGUCUUAUUUCCUUUUUUUUUUUUUCUUUACUUUUUAGGUAUUUUUUCUUGGCCAGCUUUUUUUGCCAAACGUUUGCUCUUUCGGGAAAACUUUGCAUCCAAAAUUUCUUUCUGGCAGUUUUGCAUUCAGGCGCGUUGUCACUGAUUUACUCCGCUCACUAUCUCAAUUCCUUUCCAAGUUUGUUGUUGUUUUCGUUUGUGUAGACUGGCAUUUCCGGUUUUUAUACAGUGUUAUUUCUACACUUUUCUUUUUUCAAAAAAAGGAGAAAUUUUUCUUUCCCUUUUUUUUUGCUUAUUGAUAUCAAAAGUUUAAGUGCAGCUUUGGAGGGAGCUUACAUUAUGCUUUGGCCAGGCUCAGUGCGCUUAUCCCGCUUACGAAACUUACAAAAGUGGAGUGACACGGGAAAAUGGAAAGCGGGGAAAGGCAGAGUGAAAAUCUUUUGCCAACAGUUGAGAUGAGCGAAAAAUGCGAGUGAAUCGGAAAACCCCAAAAAGUGUGCUAAGGAAAAAAAAGGGGGCGAAAAGUACGCACUUGCGAUAGAAGUGUGUGUGUGUGUGAGCGCGAUGGAUGCUUUUCCUUUUCCGCCUUCCUUAUUCACUUGAAACCAAAUUGAGCUAAAAGAGGAAAAAGGAAACAAAUCAAUUUCAUUUGAUUCUGUUUUUGGCGGCCCUGAUUGUAUUGAGUGCAAGUCUUUUCCGCUUUGCCGCCCAUACAUUUACAUACACAUCAAUUUCAUCACGUGUCUUGGGGGAAAAAAGGCGAUGCGAAGUGGAGGCUCUGGCUCUGGCUACUACCACCAGCAUUUUAGGGCCUUUCAAGUUGCCUAAAUUGAUUUCCCGGCUAAAACACAGGCUCUCGCAAUACGUGUUCGAAUGAUUCUUGUAUUCUGAUUGUUUGGGGCAAACGCGUUCGGCAUAGGAAACAAUCUUUUUUAAUUUCGCUCCGAUGUUCGAACAAGCGCUGGGCUCGUAAAAAACUUUUGUUUCUCCGCAUUAUUAUGGCGGCUGUUAAGCUGAAUUGUCCGAGCAAAAGUUUCGCAACUUUUGCAGCAGUGGAGAAUCUAGAUCAAACUGUAGAACAAGAUGGUCGAACAAGAAGUAUACACGUUAUAUAGUAGUAUUCACACAAAAGGCAGCAGCAGCUCAUUCCAAGUUUGCUCUCGGCCUCCACGAAUUUUGCAGUUUAUUCCAGGUUUUAGCCAAACUCGGGAUUCUGUGUCUUUCUUUCGCCCGCAUAUAAAUAUUUGAUUUGAUUGUGCUCUCCUUCUGCUUUAGCCCCUCUUAGCUCUGCAGCUUAUUUUAUAUUGAAAGUGCACACAGAAACCAGCAGAUUUUGGCUUAAUGCUGUAGAAAGUCGUGAUAUUUUUAGGGGGUCACAGAUAUUUGAACAUUGCAAUGAAUACAGUCAAAUAUCACAAUUUUAAAGAGAAUUUCUAGAAGCUUAAAAGGGCUUAAAUUAUUUAUUCAUAUUAUUUUGAAGUAGGUAUUUUAUUAAGCAGAGACUACUACCGUUUUUCGAGUACAAAGUGCAUUCUUCUAUCCAAAUACAGAAUAUUAAACUGGAAUAAAAAUAUGCUCGCCAUUUGUUCUCAAAAUUUGUGCUCUGCUUUUUUCCUGCAUUGUCAACACAUAUUGUGUUGACUGUCCUACUCUUUUGUCCAUUAGAAAAUCGUUAGAUGGCUUUGCUGUUGUUGUUGGUCCAGUGACCGUUUGGCAUUUGCAUUGUUGCAACUCCUGACAACAGUCAGUUAUGGCCAUCUCGUUCGCUCACCCCUCGACCUUUCGACCCGCGCCGGCCCGACCCUCGACCUCAGACAACAUGCGACAAAGUGGGCCAGAAAAAGUGGGCGGAAUGGGGCGGGGGGAACACAGUUCAAGUAUUUGGUAUUGUUAUUGCAUGGCUGCUGUCAACGUAAAAUGUACCACAAAGUGUGCGGCAAAACAAUAAGUAUAUUUUUGUGGCUAGCGCACUUUCUAACUUGGUGCAUUUCAAAUAACAUGUAUGUAUGUUUUUUUUUUUAGGGUUAUCUUAAAAAAUAAUAUUCUACCAGAAAAAUAUCGAAAUGUAUCGGCUGUUACAUAGUAAACCAUCGAUAAACAAAAUCGAUAAAUUAUUUGAAAUUGUAAAUACUUUAAAUAUGUUAUUUCUAUCAUAUGUAUUUUUAGACUUAGUUCAGUCUGGGAGAAGUAUUAAUUUAACUUCCUGAUUUUUUCUCUCUGUGCAUAACCCUGUAACUCUGCUUCGGCACAGGUCAAAGCACAUGAAAAGCCGGCCAACAAAGGCGGCAAACAAAUGGACUACAUUGUAUGCUCGCUUAAUUAUAAUUUAUAUAAUCUAUAAGCUAAUCUCUGUGAUCCGCAGUGCAGACAGCAACAGAAGUGCCAGUCGCCGGCCGAGACCAGCUGUUAAUGAAAUUUAUGGUUCAGAGUUCAUGACCCCCGUUGGGUGGCAGUUGCAGUUGACAAUAACAGAAUCCGGGCUACCUGGAUGGCAAAUUUGCCACCUGAGCGCGUCAACACAGCCACAGGCUCUCCACUUUCCAUGUGCUCCUCCAUGCUCCUCAGUGCUCCUCCGUGUUCUUCGGCGCUGCUCCAUGGCGACAAUGACAAUGUCUGGCUGAAUAAAUUCUCAUUUAUGACACUUGAAACCCGGCAGCGGGCGGUGAAGUGCCAACUGUGGGUGGGUGGAUGGCUCCAGUGCCUCCUGCUGUUACUACUGCUACGGCCUCGUUAGUUUGCCAGCUAGAUGCUACGGCAUUCGCCGUUCGCCUUUCCAGCUCGACUUGCGGUCGAGUCUCAUGCCUGCGGCUGUGGAAUGUUACCACCAGAUGAAAAACGGAAGUGAACCCAGCGGCAGAUCGGAGCAAAGGAGGCAGGAUGCCAGGACGGCUGAGGGCAGAAGUCUCUUGCAUUGGAAUAAUUGAUAAGAAAAUGCGUUACAAAUGAUCAAAUGUCUGCCGAAGGCAAACAGGACCAAAGCACUGCAAAAAAAUUAGUGCGCAGUCGAAGGGAAAAGUGUUAGGCUUGUUAGCCUUGUAUUUCCAGUUAAUAGGAUAUAAUAUAUUACAUAUCAUCCGAUGUCUGCCGAUGGCAAACAUGGUCCACACACGCUAAGAAAAAUAUUUAGGCAAAAGAUGAUAACAGCAUUAUAAGUUUAUACUGAGUCAUAAACUAAGGCUGUUGACUCCUUUUGAAUAAGAAUGAAUAAGAAUGAGUGUUAUAUUUGGAAUAUUGAUAUUAUUCAAGAUUUUUUCCAGUGAAUUUGUCACAGUGUUGCCAUGGGCACAUUCUGCCAGACUUACAGGUGAUUAAAUUUGCAAUUUCGAUUCCUCGAAGCGCAAGCGUUGAAUUGACUUUUUCCAACAAUCUGAUUUACGGCUCCUGUUGUCAUGUGUACACUGAUGUACAUAUGUACAUAUGUAUGCAUGGACAUAUACACUUUUCGCUCCUCAUAUUUUCCAGCCCGAGUCGCUCGAUUAUUAUUCAUAUUUAUUGCGUUUCAUUUAAUUUCGCUGCCGGCCAAGAAGUCGAGUCCAGAUACAUCUUUUAUAUAUGUACGUACAUACGUGCAUGCGUGUGUGUGUGCAGUUGAUGAAUAAUAAACUUAAUUGGUUUUCAUGCGGCAGCAUCAUCCUAUUUGCUUUCUUCGUGACGUGAUGUGUGUAAGUGGAGCACCAAAUCAAUUAAAGAUUGCCAACCGCCAAUCAUCCUCAUUUCGCCUGCUUAAAUCAUCACAGCCCGAAAUCAGUUGAAGUGUGACCCAUUUCGGGAUUUAUCAAUCUUUAAUGUUUUCCACUGCAUAAAUGUAAUGGAUAUUCAUGAAAAAGAAUCCCCAAGUUCAUGCAGAAAGUGCUUGGCUUUCGGCACUUUUCCGAAGCUUAAGUAAUUGUAAAAGACUGCAGACCAUUUACAGCUGCAAAAGUCAAAGGCGCACAUGAGGCUUAGUAGUUGCCAUAGGCAGCCAAUCCAAACGGAAUUCAUUUGCAUGCUACAAGCUUUUUUCGUUCAUCCUCUUUCUUUUCUGUUUGAUUUUUCAUCUAAUCCGUGCGUUUUACACAUUUUCCCUGCCCAAGUCUCAACCUCUGCGAUUCAUUCGAUGUCUGUGUGAGUGAGUACAUAACGAUGUAUUCUCCCACUUUCCGGUUUUUCUAACAAAAUGGCCACGCAUACAGUUCGUUUGUAGAACGGGUGUAUGUGUGUGUCUGUGUGUGUACAUACAUGUGUGUCGGUGUCUGUGUGGUUGAACGACGCCAUCAACAGCUUAGAAUUACAAAAUGGGCGAAAGCCAAUUUUCACACUCAAAUAAAUUGGGUUAGUUGCACAUACACACACACACCGUUAGGUGUUGCAGGUGCUGCACAUAGCACGUGAAUCGAAAACGCGCUGAAAUAAAGUUACCACCUCAGUUAGCCUUUUUUUUUUCUGCUUCUUCAGCCAACUUCGGCUUUAUUCCACCUUUUGUUGCUCUGUUCUCGGCAUCUCUGUAUUUAUGUAUUUCAAUUUGAUUUAUGACGAAGCAAAUUGCACGCAAAGCGAUUCAAAUUCACUUACGCUUCUUUUUACUUCGAUUUAAAAGCCACAAAGGAGGACAAUAUAUUGCAUAAAAUUGAAUGGAAUAUUAAUUGAACCUUUUGCUGCUAGCCUUUGAAAUUUGUUUUCGAACUCAAAAUAAAAUGCUAUUGAUUGGUAUUUAGAUCGUUUUCAAAGAGCCCAAAGUCACAGAGCGAAAAAAUGAGGGGCAAUUCAAACUAAUUUAUUUGGAUUAAAACUUCUUUAAAGAACAACUAUCUAUUUAAUUUCGAGUGCUUUCUUAAAAUAUUGUUUUCAAUUUAAUAGAUGCCCAUAGAGUUAAUAUAGUACACAACAAGAAAAGACCUAAUUUUUCUAGUGUGCCAUAAAUUUGGGCCGUAGGAAAAGAACCUUGCGGUUCAAUUAACUCUUUUGCGAACUAUGGCAACCGUUUAUGACAAUCUGAGGUCCUUUCAUGGCAGCUUAAAGCUUCCAGAAUAAAGAAAAGGGAUGGCAAGCCCAUUAGGACAGACGCUUUGAAAAGGGUCCUAUUUUUCUAUGUGUGUGUGUGUGUGUUAGCCGUAGACGCAGUAGAACAAGAACAAACGAGCGGCUAGUCGCUGGCAAUUUCGCUGGAUACAAGUUCAAGCGCAGUUGGCGCUACAAAAUUGCCAAUGGUCAGGUCAACUAACCGAAUCGUUAGGACGACGCGUAAUGAAAAUUAAUGCUGACGAGAUCCCCGUAAAUUGCCAGGAACACUGGAGAAGCCCCAGGAGCGAGCUUGAGCAGAGAGUGAAAGUAGAAAUUAGUUGGGAAGGCUGCAGCGAAAACCGGGGAAAAAGUUUUUGGGGCCAAAAAUGUAACGAACCGUAAAGUGAUUCAACCUUGAGGCUUCAACGCGGAUGAAGAGAAUGUGGUGGCUGUGGUGCUAUGUGUGUAUAUCUGCCUCUUUUUUCCACUUAUUACCAUCUAUCUUGAUGAAUAAAUUACACGGAAAUGAAUUAAAAAUUAAACAAGGUACGAACGGAAUUCUAGACUAUAUGCUAUCCUGUAAAAAUUACGUUUAGCCACAGGAAAUGAGAACCUUUUAAAUAUUUACAACUCGUUUUGUGUUAAAAUAUUAACUAAUAAAAUAUUUUCUAUCCUUAAACGCAUGUAGAUUUAUUUGCCACUGCUACUGGGUAUUAUAUAGUCGACUUAAGUGUUACAGCUUAAUUUUUUACUACCUUUUUGAGAACUUUUUGGCAGCUUCGCUUCUUCCUAUUAUUAUUAUAAGGGGGGUUUUGGGGCACGCGUAUCUUUGGGAAAUUAGGAUGAGGCGCCAAAACAGGUCAUAAAAAAUCAAGUCCAAAUACACUUCUUCCUAUCGUCGAGAUCUCUUUAGAAGCUCCCACGCCCCACUCCCCUUUCCCCUCUAAACUUUUUACAAUCUAAGCCCAGGACAUCCUACACCCCAGCUUUGGUUGAUUUAACUUGAAACCCGCCUCAUUUGUAUUAAGUUUUACCCACUGCGGUUUUGGGCGCCAGUCCUGGAAAAAGUUUAUUUUUUUUUGUUACAGCCAAAAAUACUUGGAGAUGAAGCUACUUGAUCAAAUAAUCUCAUUUGAUGAUGAGUUUAACAACCCCCUAACCAACCUUAGCACAUUGGGUAGGGAAAAAUUCCGAAGUUUUCAUUCUAUUUCCCACUUUUGUGGAUUUGUGUUACAUUUUGCUCUAGCAAAAAGUUUGAACUCCCAUAUAAACUUAAUCCCAGCACCCUCUUGCUGUUUUGAUUUUGAUAUUUUGUUGUACUUGAAAUUGGUUUGCCAUUCCAUUUGAUUUCGUACAUUUUUUUGCCCCGGAGGCUGGCGAUAUCAAAAGUUGGUUGCGCAACUUUCCUAAGGAAGUUAUAAAACAAAUUAAAAUUACAUUUAAAAUGUUUAGUGUGCACACAAUUGUGGCUGGCACUGUAAGUACGUCAGACAGUGAAACACGAAAUAUUUCAGUGCAUUUUUGCUGCCCCUUGGCUUUAACUUUAUUAUGAAAAUUUCAUUUUAAUUGUACCAAAGCCGUGGAAAAUUGUUGUUUCGCUCUUGGCCUGUUCACGUUUUGUUUUUCUUGGCUGCGCUUGUUCUGCCCUCGUGUUUACUUUGUUUUUGCAUCCGUUUGCAUUAUGCAUUAUGUUUAACUGCACUGCAUCGUGCCACAUGCAACAUGCCACAUGAAACUGACACGAAAAUGGCAGACACACUUAAUUAAAAGUUUGUUCCCUUUGCCUUGCUUAUUGUCACGGAACUAGAGUUUCAAGUUAAUUGAUCAAUCAAUAAACAUAAAACAAAAGAGAUUAUUAAGAUUGCUUUUUUUUUGACAUUUCAUAUUAAAAGCUAUAUAUAGAGUUCUUAAACAUUACAAAAACUUGUUUAGAAUUAUGAGCUUAAUUUGCCAUUAACGUCAUUGCGAUUUAAUAUCUAUUAUUUUUCUACAUUGCGCUUACGUCAUGCGUUAUUUCUGGCUGACCCAGAACAGAUGUUGGCCAUUUUUGAUUUUGCACUUCAAUUAGGCGUAACAAUCCGAUAGAUGCGCUUUGUGCAUCUGUAAGGCAUUGCAGCUUAUUGAUGCUGCCCGGGCUUUGUUGCGUAGAUAAACAAAUCGACAAACAAACGGAUUGAGAGCAUUUCAAAAUGCCACUUGACACCAUAUGGUGGCAAUUGCAUCUUGCCACUCGCACGCUCUCUCUCUUUCACACCGCAUCUAGCAUCUCUCUCUAGCCUUGCUGAUGCUGUCAGUUUCACACAUUGAAAUGCAAUGAUAACAAGCGGCUGCACAACAACAACAACAACAACAACAGCCACGACGAACAACAAAUAAAAGUUUCUGGAACUAAACAACAAGAAUAUUAGGCCAGAGUGGCUUUGAAUGUUAAAGCCACAAAACUCAGAUGGCUCAAGUGGCUUAGAAAGGGUGGAGAUGAGAUGAAGCGGGCCACUCAUGAUGUCAACGCCAUCUGCAGAAUGCCGCACAAUUUUCUUCGUGCACAAGUGGCAAAAUUUUCGCCACUAAGUGUGUUUGCGGGAUGACCGAAAAUUCCCUUAACUUUUCAUCUGGCACUCGACGAGUUGCAUGCCGCACAAUAUGCAAUAUGCUGCAAAAGAUUUAGCCAAAAUAAAUUGCAUUGCAACCGAAAACAUUUGCUCAAGUA